UACGUAGGGUGCAAGCGUUAAUCGGAAUUACUGGGCGUAAAGCGUGCGCAGGCGGCUUUGCAAGACAGAUGUGAAAUCCCCGGGCUUAACCUGGGAACUGCAUUUGUGACUGCAUGGCUGGAGUGCGGCAGAGGGGGAUGGAAUUCCGCGUGUAGCAGUGAAAUGCGUAGAUAUGCGGAGGAACACCGAUGGCGAAGGCAAUCCCCUGGGCCUGCACUGACGCUCAGACACGACAGCAUGGGGAGCGAACAGG
rnacentral:rRNA from 1 species